AUUGAACGCUGGCGGCAUGCCUAACACAUGCAAGUCGAGCGAGCGGCGGACGGGUGAGUAAUGUAUGUGGAUCUGCCCGAUAGCUGGGGAUACCUCCUGGAACCGGUGCCUAUUCCCGCAUACUAUCGGCUUAUCCCAUAUGGGAUUAGCUAGUAGGUGGGGUAAAGGCUCACCUAGGCGACGAUCCCUAGCUGGUCUGAGAGGAUGAAGAGCCAAACUGGAACUGAGACACGGCCCAGACUCCUACGGGAGGCAGCAGUGGGGAAUAUUGCACAAUGGGCGCAAGCCUGAUGCAGCCAUGCCGCGUGUAUGAAGAAGGUCUUAGGGUUGUAAAGUACUGUCAGCGGGGAGGCGUUACCUGCAGAAGAAGCACCGGCUAACUCCGUGCCAGCAGCCGCGGUAAUAC
rnacentral:rRNA from 1 species